UACGUAGGGUGCGAGCGUUAAUCGGAAUUACUGGGCGUAAAGCGUGCGCAGGCGGUUCGCUGUGUCCGAUGUGAAAGCCCCGGGCUUAACCUGGGAAUGGCAUUGGAAACUGGCGGGCUUGAGUGCGGCAGAGGGGGGUGGAAUUCCGCGUGUAGCAGUGAAAUGCGUAGAGAUGCGGAGGAAUACCGAUGGCGAAGGCAGCCCCCUGGGUUGAGUACUGACACUCAAGCACGAAAGCGUGGGGAGCAAACAGGG
rnacentral:rRNA from 1 species